CGGACUCUGGCUUGUCGAGACUCUAGCUGUUUAGUCUGUUGUUCCCUGCUAACAGCGGCAGUAGCCCUCCAGCCCACUGAGAGUUCUUGCUGAAGCCCCUCAGCUGCAGCCCAGCAUCAGAUCCUGAUUUUGACUCUGGCUUGUAGAGGCUCUAGCUGUUUCCAGUCUGUGGUUCCCUGUCAACAGCGGCAGCAGCCCUCCAGCCCCUUCUCCCCUCAUCUGCAGCCCAGCAUCAGUGUCAAAAACCGAAAAGAGAUGGCAGCCCCCCAGAAGUUUCUGCUCCGUGUUUAUCUGCACACAGAUACUGCCAUGAAGCUCACUCUAAAUAGCCGCCCAAAGUCUGUGGAAGAGCUGAAAAUUAUAAUGCAGUACAAAUUCAAGCCAAGACUCGACGGUAGUGACUUCACCAUCCAAUACGAAGACCCUGACUUUGAUGGGCAAUUAAGUGUCCUAGUGGACAUAGAUGAGCUGCCAGAGAAGGGGACACUGAAAGUGAUUAGGUUGGAGAGUGACGAUAGUUCUUCUUGUGGCAGUUCUGACACUGACAUACUGCCCCAUGU